UACGAAGGGGACUAGCGUUGUUCGGAAUUACUGGGCGUAAAGCGCACGUAGGCGGUUUUGUAAGUCAGGGGUGAAAUCCCGGGGCUCAACCUCGGAACUGCCUUUGAUACUGCAAAUCUCGAGUCCGAUAGAGGUGGGUGGAAUUCCUAGUGUAGAGGUGAAAUUCGUAGAUAUUAGGAAGAACACCGGUGGCGAAGGCGGCCCACUGGAUCGGUACUGACGCUGAGGUGCGAAAGCGUGGGGAGCAAACAGG
rnacentral:rRNA from 1 species